AUUGAACGCUGGCGGCACGCCUAACACAUGCAAGUCGAGCGGCAGCGAGACUAGUAGCAAUACUAGUUGUCGGCGAGCGGCGGACGGGUGAGUAACACGUAGGAAUCUGCCCUUAAGCGGGGGCUAACCAAGGGAAACUUUGGCUAAUACCGCAUAAUCUCGAUAGAGCAAAGCUGCCCGCAAGGAUGGCCCUUGCGGAGGAGCCGGCGUCCGAUUAGCUGGUUGGUGGGGUAAUGGCCUACCAGGGCGAUGAGCGGUAACUGGCCUGAGAGGACGACCAGUAACACUGGGACUGGGACACGGCCCAGACUCCUACGGGAGGCAGCAGUGGGGAAUAUUGGACAAUGGGGGCAACCCUGAUCCAGCGAUGCCGCGUGAGUGAAGAAGGCCUUCGGGUCGUAAAGCUCUUUAGGUUGGGAAGAAGUGUAUUGGCUGAAUAAUCCAGUACAUUGACGGUACCGACAGAAUAAGCACCGGCAAACUCUGUGCCAGCAGCCGCAGUAAGAC
rnacentral:rRNA from 1 species